rnacentral:lncRNA from 10 species
UGCCUAAGCAUUUCUCCUGCUCCACUGCCUCCUCAGACCCGAAGACUGGCUUGGGAUCCUGAGAGAGCAAGAAAAGUUUACCGGGAGCUUCAGAAAAAGUUAUUCAUCAUUUUUGGAGUGGAUAUUCAGAAGUGACUUCCCUCUUUUGCUCUGGUGCCUGGCUACUUCAAGAGUUGAGCUAAUCACAGGGAAGAUUCAGUCUCAGUUCAGCUGCCUCAUUUGAUCAGCUCAAGACUGAGUCCAACAAAAGUGGUCUGUCUAAUGAAACUCAUUUUCAUUUUUUCUCAUUAGUCUAUACACGAUUGAGACUGUAGAACGACAAAAGAAUAAAAAGAAGAAUGACAAUUAAAAAUCAUUUUCUCUGGCCCUUGAUUUUUGCCUUCUUUUUUUUAAAUGUAGUUACGUGCUCAUUUUUUGUUUCUUUUUUAUUCUCUGCUCUUCUUUUCUAUUGAUUUUCCCAUUUAUGAAGGGGGAAUUAGUAAAUCCAUGGUCUGAGUGCUGAGAUGUUCUGAUAGGCCUUCAAGUUUUCAGCUGUACUCUGAAUCAGAAUAAUAUACUCCAUCAAGGAGACUGACAUUGGCACCACCUUCCCAGAAAUCCAGGAGCGCCUUUGCAUGAGGAAAAGCAGAAGGGAGUAAAGUCAUGAAACAUUGUGUGUGUGUUUGUAUAAAACUGUAUAUUUUUGCUCACAUAUAAUAACUAUAUAUUUCUGCUAAUUUUUCCUUUUAAAGGCUAUUAAGUUACUUAAAAUCCAUUGCCUAAUAAAACUGCAAUUCACCUUUGUAAUUCACUCAUUUGUUUGCUGUCACAGGGAAGAUAGAAAUUGAGCACGUUUUCGGCUGGGUGUGGUGGCUCACGCCUGUAAUCCUAGCACUUGGGGAGGCCGAGGUGGGCGGAUCACGAGGUCAGGAGAUCGAGACCAUCCUGGCUAACAUGGUGAAACCUCGUCUCCACUA